rnacentral:lncRNA from 1 species
ACCCUAACCUCAUCUUGCUUCAAUAUGUGGAAGAUCUGUUGUUAGCUGCUGCCAGUUGUUCAGAAUGCCUUCAGGAAACAAGAGCUCCUACGAUUGCUAGAGGAGUUGGGCUAAUGUGUCUUGGUUAAAAAGGCACAACUCUGUGCUUCCCAAGCAUCGUACCUGUGGUAUGAGACCUCAAAAGGAAGAAAAACUUUGCCUCAGGCAAGGAAAUGGGCCAUUCUGCAGAUACCCAUGCCAACUACCAAGAAAUAGUUACAAGAAUUCCUAGAUGCAGCUGGAUACUGUGGCCUCUGGAUACCUGGGUUUGCCAAGAUAGCACAGCCCUGAAAUCAAGCCCUAGAGUGGAGAACAAAAGAAGAAAAGGUGUUCCAGGAUUUAAAACAAGCUCUGGUGUCAGCCCUGACUCUGGUGUUGCCUGGCAUCAAUCACCAAACCGUUCCAACUGUUCACUCAUGAGAACAAAAUUCAUGGCACAGCUGUACCAGGUAUUGGAGGCUGGCAAGAUCAGGAUAUUCGAGAGUUCCAUUGGCAUGGUGAAUCUGCUUGACAUGGGGCAGUGUCUGAAAACUUGAAGGCAGUCUUGCUGGCUUCCACUCCUCACCUCCACAGGGAAAGUCCUUAAGUCACAUCUGCAGGGCCCUGUCCUGGCUCCAUGACUUUGAGCAGAAGAAACAGCAAGAAGAGGCCCACUGUCUCCUUGAACCUGAAGCCAGCCCCUCGCCUGAGGGGCAGACUUGUCUUCCUGCCAAGCAUCCUCCACCACCCUGAGACCUACACAAGAGCCAGACUGGGUCACCCAGUUUGUGCAGAGGAAGGAAGGAAGGGACCUGGCAGAGCGAGUGAAGGUGAGGGCUGGGUAGCAUCCUCGAGUCAGUGGAU